rnacentral:pre_miRNA from 1 species
AAAGAGAAGUUUGGUUGAGAACUGACAGAAGAGAGUGAGCACUCGCCGGCAACCGUAUAUAGAGAUUAUACUCUUGUUGGAAUUAUGCGUGUGCUCACUUCUCUUUCUGUCAGGGUCCUAUUCUUUCUUUCGU